rnacentral:rRNA from 1 species
UACGGAGGAUGCGAGCGUUAUCCGGAUUUAUUGGGUUUAAAGGGUGCGUAGGCGGCGAGUUAAGUCAGCGGUAAAAGCCCGGGGCUCAACCCCGGCCCGCCGUUGAAACUGGCGGGCUGGAGUUGGAGAGAAGUACGCGGAAUGCGCGGUGUAGCGGUGAAAUGCUUAGAUAUCGCGCAGAACCCCGAUUGCGAAGGCAGCGUACCGGCUCCACACUGACGCUGAGGCACGAAAGCGUGGGUAGUCGAACAG